rnacentral:rRNA from 1 species
GUAUUUGCUCGUAGACCCGAAACCAGUUUUUCUACCCUUGGUUAUGUUGAAGUUCAGGUAACACUGAAUGGAGGACCGAACCGACUUACGUUGAAAAGUGAGCGGAGGAACUGAGGGUAGCGGAGAAAUUCCAAUCGAACUAGGAGAGAGCUGGUUCUCUCCGAAAUAGCUUUAGGGCUAGCCUCAAGAGAUGAUUAUUGGAGGUAGAGCACUGUUUGGACGACGCGCCCCUCUCGGGUCACCGAAUUCAGACAAACUCCGAAUGCCAAAUCACUCUAAAUUGGGAGUCAGAAUGUGGGUGAUAAGGUCCAUAUUCGACAGGGAACUGACGCACACCACCA